rnacentral:misc_RNA from 1 species
GAAAUGCGAUAAGUAAUGUGAAUUGCAGAAUUCAGUGAAUCAUCGAAUCUUUGAACGCACCUUGCGCUCCUUGGUAUUCCUUGGAGCAUGCCUGUUUGAGUAUCAUGAAAUCUUCAAAGUAAAUCUUUUGUUAACUCGAUUGGUUUCUACUUUGGUAUUGGAGGUCUUUGCAGCUUCACACCUGCUCCUCUUUGUUCAUUAGCUGGAUCUCAGUGUUAUGCUUGGUUCCACUCGGCGUGAUAAGUUAUCUAUCGCCGAGGACACUGUAAAAGGUGGCCAAGGUAAAUGCAGAUGAACCGCUUCUAAUAGUCCAUUGACUUGGACAAUACUUUUAUGAUCUGAUCUCAAAUCAGGUAGGACUACCCGCUGAACUUAAGC